rnacentral:rRNA from 1 species
UUGAACGCUGGCGGCAUGCUUUACCCAUGCCAGUCGAACGGCAGCGCGGGCUUCGGCCUGGCGGCGAGUGGCGAACGGGUGAGUAAUGCAUCGGAACGUGCCCAGUAGUGGGGGAUAGCCCGGCGAAAGCCGGAUUAAUACCGCAUACGACCUGAGGGUGAAAGCGGGGGACCGAAAGGCCUCGCGCUAUUGGAGCGGCCGAUGUCGGAUUAGCUAGUUGGUGGGGUAAAGGCUUACCAAGGCGACGAUCCGUAGCUGGUCUGAGAGGACGACCAGCCACACUGGGACUGAGACACGGCCCAGACUCCUACGGGAGGCAGCAGUGGGGAAUUUUGGACAAUGGGGGCAACCCUGAUCCAGCCAUGCCGCGUGCGGGAAGAAGGCCUUCGGGUUGUAAACCGCUUUUGUUCGGGAAGAAAUCCUCUGGGCUAAUACCCCGGGGGGAUGACGGUACCGGAAGAAUAAGCACCGGCUAACUACGUG